CUUCAAGGCAUAAUAUUGAGAAUGCUCAUUGAAUUGGAAUAAGUUCGGCAGCGGAUCACGAGAUCUUGGUGAUCUUCUCUA